GACAGAGGUCCCGAGCGUUAGGCGGAAUCACUGGGCUUAAAGCGUGUGUAGGCGGCGGCCUAAGUACCUUGUGAAAUCCCACGGCUCACCCGUGGAACUGCUCGGUAUACUGGGUCGCUUGAGCCACUUAGGGGCUACCGGAACAAAUGGUGGAGCGGUGAAAUGCGUAGAUAUCUGGAGGAACAUCGGUGGCGAAGGCGGCAUCCUGGACCGGUAUUGACGCUGAGGCGCGAAAGCCAGGGGAGCAAAGCGGG
rnacentral:rRNA from 1 species